rnacentral:rRNA from 1 species
GAAACACGGACCAAGGAGUCUAACAAAAUCGCAAGUCAAUGAGCAGUAUGCUUAAAGGCGAAAUGAAAUGUGAAGGCAUUUUCAUGCUCAGACGUAAUCCGCAUUUAUGCGGCGUAACGUCUUCCCGUUUAUGUGGCUUUGUCCUCUAAGCGGAGGUAGAGCGAUUGUGUUAGGACCCGAAAGAUGGUGACCUAUGCCUGAGCAAGAUGAAGCCAGAGGAAACUCUGGUGGAGGUCUGAAGCGGUUCUGACGUGCAAAUCGAUCGUCUGACCUUGGUAUAGGGGCGAAAGACUUAUCGAACCAUCUAGUA